rnacentral:RNase_P_RNA from 1 species
CGAGCAAAUUAGAUAGUCGCCUCGCAAUUUUGUGGGGAGGAAAGUCCGGGCGUCGAAGACCCCGUAGAAUUGCGGGGCCGCAAAUGGCAGCGGGUAAUACCCGCCGGUCGCGAGAUUAGGGAAAGCGCCACAGAGACAAUAUUUCUUUGGUUUUGGGGCAAUCUCCAAAACUGGGGUAAAGGUGAAAAGUGAGGGAUUAAGACCCCUCUCUCCACAGGGAGACCUGUCGGAGUGGCAAGCCCUGCCUGACGCAAGAGCAAACCAUUCCGCAAUAUUGCGGAAUGAUGAAAAGUAGCUCGCUUGAGGUUAGCGGCAACGCUAACCCUAGAUAGAUGACUAUCCAAGACCCUCCGUCGCCCUUUGGGCUAUGGCGGGUGAGACAGAACCCGGCUUAUUAUUUGCUCGGGUU